CGUUGUGAACUGUGAUCUCUCUUUCUAUUUAUUCUUCUUCUUGGCCAACACUCCAAUUACUUCCUUCCGAAGCCAUUUCUGAUCAAAGCUUCGAAUUGGAGAGUUUUUUUUUUCAGUUUCCGAUCCACCACCACCAGGGCGAUAUUGGCCGAAGAUUUCGAUAACCAGAGUGCAGUCCGGCGGCCACGACCGGUGAAAAAGCUACUCCAAAUAUGGUCCCUUAAUCCUGUCCUGGAUGGGGAAGCAGGCCUGAAAUACAUGUUGAAAAAUGAAAAUAAUCAUUCGGGUGAUAUCACCGUGUCCGUGCUUCAGAAGCUUUGAUGGUUCGCUGAAGGUUUGGGAUUUGCGCCAAAUGAAAAAACCUCUCAAGGUGUUUGAUAUUCUCCCAUUAACUAUGCCCAAACAAAUAGUCCUGAUGAGCAACUCUUUCUGACUCGAAAAUCGGCCGAGAAAGAGAGCAAAACAGGUGGGAAUAUCCCAAAGUUGAAUCAGAGUUAGAUUUUGUCCGUCCAAGAAGCAUGUAUAAGAGAAAUGACACGAGCCGGACAUGGAACAAAACAAAAAACUCCUUCCAUAUAUAUGUCAAAGUUAGAUUUUGGCAAAUACCUUCUUCAUUUAGAAUCUGCCUGUAAGCAUUGGCUGAAGAAAUGCAAGCAGGGAGUAUAUAGGUCCUGAUAAACUGGAGCAAGAGCUAACUGCUUCAAAAACGUCCAUAUUAGUUUCAACCUAUCAGAGUUGCUGAAAGCCAGCUCUCCUUCUCACAGGUCAUCCUCCCUUGAGACAGGGUCUAACACUCUGCACUAUUCAGAUACGUUGUGACUUGUGAUUGACCUCUCAGAUGGCCUUUUCAUGUUCAUACAAAGGCAUAUUUGGAUUGUGCUAUCCUUAGAGAUGAAAUGGAAAUUUCGGCUGAUGUGCUCGCCACAGGUUUGCUUUUGAGGUUGCUGACCCAGAUCUUUAUCUGAUAAAUUUUUCCUUCGCCAGGACGGCUCAUGAGAGGUGCUAUGCAGUUGGCAUUUGCUUUAUAAUCAGGUCAGUUAGGAACAUUAACGAUCACAACCUGGCUGCAGAUUUUAUAUCAACGAAUGAAAUAGUACAGGCAGUUGUUUACUUUUACAAAGGUUUGGCAAAGUUCUCACGAUAGAUUUGUUUUAAGCCAGCCGGAUUUCAGAUUUGAUUUCAUCUCUCUCUUUGCAGGACAGGAUGAAUUGAUAGCUCUCGAGAAGGCACUAAAGGAUAGAAUACCAUGAUUCCUGCUGGAACUGCAAGAGAGGUGGAACUUAAGCUUUGAUAAUCGGGGGUACUCUGCUGCUGAGAUGGAUAGACUUAUCCCAAUUGCCAUAUUUAUGGUCAAAUUUGAUAAUGAGAAAUAAGGAAGUCGAUCUUUGGGAAAUUUUGUCCAGCUAAAUGAGGAAGAUUACUUAUCAAUUACAUUAUUGAUAUGAUGGAGGAGGUGGAGCAACUCAAGUUUGGCUGGGCUCUGGCAGGCAGGUCAGGCUGAAUUGAUAGCUCUUGAGAAGGCACUGAAGGGAUGCAAUUCUGUUUAUAUGCAAUUAGGGCAUAUUUGGAUGGCACUAUCCUAAGAGAAGAAUCCAACUUCUAAGGACGACUAGAACGUGGUAGAUUAUGUUGCCACAAAGAUAUAUUUCCUUCAAUCAUCCAGAUCAAGGGGUUUUUCACAAUUCAGUGGCCAAAACCUGGUUUUGAUCCUCAUUUGCAGACCUUGGAUAUGAAGAAKGGYUAAAUACAAAAGCAGAAUCAACACACAAGAAGCAAGUUAGCUAUGAAGCUCAAAAGGAUUGUGCAGCCCAGUCAAAUCCUAGGAAGAAAACUAUAGUCUUGGAAGAGUCUYAAACUCAACAAGAAAUGACCGAUGGAUGCUCAAUUGAGGAAGAUCAACACACUAAAUCAGAAACAAAACAUACUCAGCACGAUGCAACUGUGGGAGAAAAUGUCGUCAAUCACUCAGACAUACUUGCAGUUGAUUUAAGCCCACAAACUCAUCCACAAUUGAUCAAUUGACAACCUCAACCUUAUCAAAUGAAGAGCAACAUACACAAUUGAUCAAUUGACAACCUCAACCUUAUCAAAUGAAGAGCAACAUACAGUACCAUCUUCAACCAUUCUGAAUGCAUCACAUCCUAUGAUAACAAGGAGGAAGCUCUACAACAAUCCACAAUUGGAUCCUAAACUACAUCAAGAAUUACAAAGCACCAAGUCAAUAUCGUGCAGCCAAGCCUUGGUAGCUGAGCCAAAGAGCUUCAAAUCAGCACUCAAAAUUCCCCAAUUGGAAAAUGGCAAUGGAAGAAGAAAUGAAAGCACUCAAGGAAAAUCACACAUGGGAACUUGUCACUCCUCCUCCUAAUAUCAACAUUGUCGGCUCAAAAUGGAUCUUCAAAACAAAGUUGAAAGAAGAUGGAAGUGUUGAAAGAUACAAGGCCCGAUUAGUAGCUCAAGGCUACUCUCAAGUUG